AUAUUUCCAUCAGAUGUGUUUCUCAAGCACUCUGCCACUCCUUUCUACCUCUCCUGCGUUUGAUCUGAGGACGGCCCGUUCCACAGGUAAUACCGGGAAGAAGUGAAGAAAGCAGAGUCGGGGUGGGGGGAGGUUUGAUUAUUCAUUGGUUUGUGACACACACAGUCAAAAGACAACUUCGGGCUUGUUUCCCUUAAGAUGGGCAGGGAAACCUGUUUUGAUGCAAUGCUGUGUGAGCUGAGACCACAGUAGGUAAAGGAAUGAGGCAUGCAGAUAUCUGGGGAAGAGUUUUCAGGAGUAAGAAAGACAGUGCCAAAGUCUCUAGGAGGGAAAGCAGGAGACCCAUGGGGCUGGAGAGGAAUAAACAAGAGGGGGCGUGGUAGGGGAUUGGCUGUUGGCAGGUGGGCAUGAUUGGACCGUUGACAUUUUCUCUGGGUGAGAUGGGGAGCCACAUGGGGUCUUGAGUAGGGUGACAUGAUGCCUCUUGUGUCACAUGCAAGAGCAGAAGCAGAGAGCACAGCCAGACAGGGCUUCUGGAAGAAUCCAGGGGAGAUAUUUCUCUCGAUGGUGUUGGCUUGGACCAAAUGGUAUCAGUGGAGGUGGUGAGAUAGGGUUGGACUUCGGAUAUAUUUAAAGGUAAAGCUGAAAAGAAUUGCAGAUAAGUUAGAUACGAGGUGUGAGGGAAAGAGACAUAUCCAGGAAGAUUCCAAAAUUCUUGACUUCAGCCACUGGAAGGAUACAGUUGUCAGGUGCUGAGAUGGGCAAGACUGGGAGAAAAGCAGGCUUGGAAGGGAAGAUCUGGAGUUCAGCUUUGGCUCUGCCAAAUUUGCGUUGCCUACUGGAUAUCCAGGAACACAAAGGCACAGAAGAUGAAGUAACUUGCCCACGGCCACACGGUUGGAGCCCAUGGCCCUCCCCAGAUGCAGAUGCCCAACUGUGAACUUCUCCAGACAUCAGAAUCAUGAGCCGAAGAAAGCUUUUUUCUU
rnacentral:lncRNA from 1 species